GGCAGGAUACACAUGCAGUCGAGCGAGAACUUCGGUUCUAGCGGCGGACGGGUUAGUAACGCGUGGGAACGUGCCCUUCACUACGGAAUAGUCCCGGGAAACUGGGUUUAAUACCGUAUACGCCCUUCGGGGGAAAGAAUUUCGGUGAAGGAUCGGCCCGCGUUAGAUUAGAUAGUUGGUGGGGUAACGGCCUACCAAGUCUACGAUCUAUAGCUGGUUUUAGAGGAUGAUCAGCAACACUGGGACUGAGACACGGCCCAGACUCCUACGGGAGGCAGCAGUGGGGAAUCUUAGACAAUGGGCGCAAGCCUGAUCUAGCCAUGCCGCGUGAGUGAUGAAGGCCUUAGGGUCGUAAAGCUCUUUCGCCAGGGAUGAUAAUGACAGUACCUGGUAAAGAAACCCCGGCUAACUCCGUGCCAGCAGCCGCGGUAAUACGGAGGGGGUUAGCGUUGUUCGGAAUUACUGGGCGUAAAGCGCGCGUAGGCGGAUUGGAAAGUUGGGGGUGAAAUCCCAGGGCUCAACCCUGGAACUGCCUCCAAAACUAUCAGUCUAGAGUUCGAGAGAGGUGAGUGGAACUCCGAGUGUAGAGGUGAAAUUCGUAGAUAUUCGGAAGAACACCAGUGGCGAAGGCGGCUCACUGGCUCGAUACUGACGCUGAGGUGCGAAAGUGUGGGGAGCAAACAGGAUUAGAUACCCUGGUAGUCCACACC
rnacentral:rRNA from 1 species